GAAACUACAAAUGAAUUGACGGGACCCGCACAAGCGGUGGAUGAUGUGGUUUAAUUCGAUGCAACGCGAAAACCUUACCCACCUUUGACAUGGCAGGAAUCCCGAAGAGAUUUGGGAGUGCUCGAAAGAGAACCUGCACACAGGUGCUGCAUGGCUGUCGUCAGCUCGUGUCGUGAGAUGUUGGGUUAAGUCCCGCAACGAGCGCAACCCUUGCCAUUAGUUGCUACGAAAGGGCACUCUAAUGGGACUGCCGGUGACAAACCGGAGGAAGGUGGGGAUGACGUCAAGUCCUCAUGGCCCUUAUAGGUGGGGCUACACACGUCAUACAAUGGCCGGUACAGAGGGUAGCCAACCCGCGAGGGGGAGCCAAUCCCACAAAGCCGGUCGUAGUCCGGAUCGCAGUCUGCAACUCGACUGCGUGAAGUCGGAAUCGCUAGUAAUCGCGGAUCAGCAUGUCGCGGUGAAUACGUUCCCGGGUCUU
rnacentral:rRNA from 1 species